GGGAAAACAGAAAGGAGAAGGUCAGGCAGAUGACAGGGCCCUGGAGACUACAUUGCUGGUGCCAUUUUCUUGUCAUUUAGCGGCAGAAGACAGCAGAGGUUGGGCUUCUCGUGCCUUCUGCUGGCGAGGACCGGGGACUGCAGAGCCCCGCCCCCCCACAAAGUCCCCAGGGGGAAUAGGCGGUGAGUUGACUGGCCUGGUCAGCCAAAGGCACCUGAGCAUGAGAGAGCUGCUUGAGUCUCUCAAUAAACAAGAGAUUUGUCCUUCAGAUGAAGCCACAAACACGAACUCUGAAGUCCUGAGGGGCUGCCAUCCUCAGCUCCCCAGAGGUUCAAGGACAGCUCCAAGUCUGCCCUUGACUUGUGCUGGAACCUCGCCACUAUUCUGACCUGGGCCAAUUUUCUGCUCUGCCAGACCCUGCAUUCUGCGAGAGCUGCUGAAGUGCUCCUCCAUGUAAUUCAUUACAGGUGGGCUCGGGGUGGGCAGGACAAGACAGAUAAUUCUCAAGAUACAACUUCAACGCAUCUUCCUGCUGCCGGGCAAGCAUAAACCAUGCCUGAAUGCACACCCACAUGGCAAGAAAAUAUUGAGGGGGGCAUCACAAAUCAUCAAAUUACCUGAAUCAGCGGUUUCUCUCUCCUUCUACCCAAAGGAAAUGGGAACAGGAAUUCACAAGGAGUCAAGAAAACCACUCCCCAGAGAUGGGCAACAGAGUCAGUCACAGGCUCAAAUCACAGCACUGCUCCUUCCUACCUGUGUAAGCUGGAGGCUCUCUGAGUCUCAUCUUCCCCAUUUGUGAAACAGGAAUUAAGGCUUUAUUUAUUGCCAGGACCGCUGAGACUAUUCAAUGAGGUAAUUCAUGCAAUGACCAAAGUGACAAGGACUUGAGUUCCUUAUGUUCUCACCAAGGUCAAAGCCCUUCUGUGACCUUUUUUACCUACAGCAUCUCCUGUAAUCCUCGCAACUGGACAUGGAGGGACCAGCCUUACUGCCCCCAUUUCACAGAAGGGAUGGAUUCUACCAUCGCUUUGCACCCAGAAUGGAUACAAAGACCAGAGCCUGGCUCUAGGCCACAGGCAGAGACAGCUGUGGCAGAGAGGAUGCCAAACAUAGUGACUUCAGUAAGGACAAGAUCUCCAGCCUGUCAUAUGGCAAGAGACGUCCUCAUACGCAGCAGUAAUAGGCCUCCCACCAUAUCACCAAAUGUCCGUGGGGCUUAGUGAGGUGACAAAGAGGACACAUGUUAGAGCCAGCCUGCCUCUGCCCAGAUUCCAGCUCCAUAUCACAGCUGUCCUCAGCAGUUAUUUGACCUCCAUAUACCUAAAUCUCCUCCUCUGUACAGUGGAUACCAAAACAGGACCUGCUUUGUGAAGUUAUAGGAGGAUUAAUUGGCUACCCAUGGCCAAGUGCUUAGAACAAUGCCAGUUGUGUGACCAUUAGCACAUGGCACCUAUUAUCACUGGUCUGCUCCUUCCAGUGCUAAAAACCAACUGCAGCGAGAAAGGCAAAAUUCCUAUGUGCGUGAGAAGUUCCUUUUAAUUGUCAAUGACCAUUGACAGGGAAACAGCUAAGCUAGCAGAAUAACCAAAGUAUUCUUCAGCAUGAAAACCAUGUCAAAAUCCCAAUCUACACAUCUCAUCUGAAUUACCCAACCUCCCAGGUUUGACAAAACAGCCAUCACGAUUCCCAAGGGGAAGACUACGGGGACAAAGUAGCAAGCAACAGAGGAGAAUAAAACUGGCAGGUAUGGGGGAGGGAGGAAGAGCAGAGAACAAAGACUCCAAAAUGUACCAACUACUUCUUAGGAUGGCAAGGCCGUGGCCAGUUCUUUUUUCCUUUUUCCAGUGUGCUUUUUAAAAUUGUGACUGCACUUUUCUAAAUGACAGUAAUAAUGUUACUUUGAGGUCCUCAUUCUAGCCUGGCAGGUAGACAGAAAACACAGCAUACACUCAUGUUCUGAGGGGCCCACUAGGUUUUUUUCUACAGCCUGGUUUACGCACCAUAGUUUUCACAGCGGAAGAUUUCGUAUAAAACAUUUAGACUUCUAGCUUGGUCUGAGAAGUCACAAGACCUGGCCUAACACGCGCUGAGGAUAUCUACCCUGAGGCGGAGGGGUGUUCCUCAGAUAAUCAUGGUGAUCCGCACUCCUGCCAUCAGCUGACAUAAGGCCAAACGCCAGCUGCCACUUGUCAGCAAACUUUCACUCUUUGUCAUUGCCAUAGCCAAAUUGAGAGUGAGAGGUAUUGCUCCUGCCUGAAGAGCUCCACUCACCUGUGUUAUGUGCCUGACCUUGGGACAUCUGAGUUGGCAGCCCUGUUUUAUGCAAUUAUGUUAAAAGGAAAGGAGAGAAACCAAAGCCCUUCAAAAUAAGCUCCAGCUACCCCACCCUUACUGAAGACAAAGAUACAGAAUCUGCUUGAAGUUCCUCCUCAGGGCCCCACUUAAAUCUGCAAAACCUCUACCUGGGGAAGAGGCGAACUUCCUCAUUACCCAAACAUUCCUCACUUCCAAUAAAAGAAUUUGCUACUAGCAAAAGCUCUUUGUACACAA